rnacentral:lncRNA from 1 species
AGCGAGUAGCUCUGUAAGGGAAUGGUUUUUAUUCGGAGUGAUUCAAAAGUUUGGCAUUUAACGUUUACGGAAAACAGAUCUAUCUUCUACCACUAAACUCAGGAAUUGUUGACUGGAAAUAAUCUAACUAAACCAAUUAAACACUUCAUGGAUCCUUCUCAUCAGCAAUUCAUCCGUCUUCGGGCUAUCAGGAGGGGCUCGCCCCGCGCGUGUUGCUAGGGAGCCCUGGAGUCUAACUGGUAAACACACGCAGACCGGGGGCAGAAGAAAAGCAGGCCGGCCGGGAAGCACACGGCCUCUCCCGGCCUUCUCCCGGGGUGAAAUGAAACAGGAAUGGGAGAUCAUGCUCUUCCCCGUCCUAAUUUAGCAAGCAGGAUUGUCUCACCCAGGCCCGCAGAGCGUGUGCCGCCCCAGGGCGUCCUUACACACAACAGGCUCUGGGUUGUUCAGCAGUCGCCUGCAGGCGAGGCCAAAACAGGCUGCUUCCACCUCCUUCAAAGGGCUGUGUGCUGCUCAGUGGGUUGGCAGUGUUGACUGCACCAGGCGAAGGACCUGGGCCGGGCAGACAGGGAAGUGCCUGGCACGGGCACCACGCUGGAGGGCAGGCUCUGAGGGUGGGGAGAGCAGAGCACAGAGCCCGGGGGGCACAGGCGUCGGGUGCUUCCUCACCGGCUGCCCCGGCCAGCUGUGGUCGCCCAAGCCACUCGAGCCUGGGGUGAGGAUGGGGUGCAGGCCUGGGACCUGGCUGGCUCCGGGGUCCGAGUUCCUAACCACAGCCCUCCACUGCCUCCGAGCCGGCUCCACUCCAGCGCACCACAGCUGUAAAGAAAUCCGGCUUCUUUGUCCUUAGGAGACAGAAGUAAAAUUUUCUCAUCGCACAUUGGACUGUUUAGCUCUGCAACUAGUGCUGGAGGGGUCCUCAUGGCCCACCUUUACCAUCUGGGUGUUCUUGGGUGAGUGCGUCGCUUCCGACCCUCAGGGAGGCCAGCGGGUACCGUGCAUCUUCCACGAGGCCCGUUCUCCAGGGCCAGCGAGGGUCGAAGUCUGGUGAGGGGAUUUGGGCUCUCAGGCCCGAAGGGCCCACAGCGUCACCUGCCUGGAGCGUGCACACUGCAGCCCAGAGGAGCUGGGUUCCUGAGAAGUGAGUCUCCCCAGCUCGAAGACCGGGUGGUGGCUCUCUCCCUCCUUCGUGCAGAGCUGAGCUGUUCGGGGAAAAUGGCAGAGUCGCCCGGAGAUUGGCCUGGAGUCCGAGGGAGACGCCCACCAGUGGCUCGGGUGGUGUGCGGGUCGGAGGCGGCCUCCCUGCCAGUCCCGGCACCCGCACGCUGCUCCUCUCAGCAGAGCCCAGGCUCAGGGCUGGACGGGGCCGGGGCUGCUGCUGUUCACACUGUCUGUUACUUCGCCUCUACUUACGGGAACGACUCCCACUUUCGACUUACAGGACCGAUAGGAAGCUCCCCAGGAUCUGUUCAAAUGUGGGCCUAUGGUCAGCCAGGCAAAUGGAAGCGCAAUGGUCGAAGCCAUGACAGGAGCCCUGGCCAGAGCGGACUCGGGACACUCUCAGCCAUCCAGGCGACACAGGCGCCUCUGGGCCAAGCCGCUCGGGCCUGGGGUGCUCGGAGACGUGGAGGCUGAGUCGGGCAGAGCAGCCUCGCCCGCCGCUCUCAGGCAAGGUUUGCCGGGGUGUCUGCCUCUGUCCCCUUCAAGCCCCACUUCUGGCCAGGACCAAAGGUGCCUGAAUCCCGUCCUGUCCCCAUGGACUCAGAUCGUCCCUGGUGAUGCCAGGGAGCUGGUGACUGCGGCCUGGGGAACAGGAGUGGGCCACGGAGGGGCUGGGCUCCCGGCCCGCGUCCCGAGCACCAGCGACCUCACGCUGCACCCAGCCUCAGCGUCCCUGGCAUCGCUGGACGCAGCCCCCUGGGCACUGCCCUCCCUUCGUCCUCUGCUCCCAGGCAGGCGGCUGAGGAAGGCGGGCGGCAGGGCUUUCCUGACUCGGAGGUGAGUGCAGCCGCGCGUCCCAGAGCCCGGGGUGUUCGGGGACCGCCGACGUAGGGCCAUGUGCCCACGAGGGCAACACUCAGUGGGGGCCGGAGGACGCCCCAAGAGGUGGCUCCCACAGACCGCGGGGCCCCAGGGCUGCUCUGGGGCUGGUGGCUUCUUCCCAGGCCGGGCUGGACAGCCACUGGUUCCCUCCCUGGGGACAGAGGGAACAGCCAGAAAAACAGCACCAGGAAGAGCUUGCGCAGGGCCGGGCCCUUGUGCGGAGAAAGCAGGAGAAAUGACGGGGAGCAGUCAGAGGUCAGGAAAUCAAUUUUUGUCUCCUUACAGAUCUAUCCAUGCAGAGGCUUGUAAAGGUCACGCCUGUCCUCUUAAAGAACCUCCAGGAUUUACAUCCUGCCCAGCCCUCGGCCUCCUGGAUGGUAAACAUGAAGAUCCAAUUAGUUUUCCCUAUAACUCAAAGAGAUCCAGCAACAGGGGCCUUUCCGGUUGGGAGUCGGUUUUCUUGCUCCUCGAUUCGGGGAUGAACUUUAAUCCACAUCUUAUCUCCUGCUUAAAAAUGAACAUCUCUUCUCUUCUUAUCACUGUGUUGCUCCCUUCUCACUUCCCCUCCCUCUGGAGUCUUGGCCACCUUCCUCCUUGGCAGUGACAGUGGAUUCUUCUGACCGAGUUACUCGCCGCUCUUGGUUACCUUAAGAAUUUCCCCCUGGCCGGGUCCCAGCCCUGCUCCUCCCCGGCACUGGGCAUCCGGGGCCCCACUUCUGAGUCUUUGCCGAGGAAGGGCAUGGAUUGCUGAACACCGCUCCUUUGUGGUGCAGUCCCCAGAGAUGAAGUCCCGAGCAGCCUGUCCCCAGUUCCUGGCCCCUCCCCCCCUCUGGGUUCACCAGUCCACACUGCUCUCCCCGGGUCGUGGGUGAGGUGGGCGCCCCAGUGCGAGUGCCCAGCCCCAGCCCGCAGUGCCGGGCUGCGGGUCUCAGAGUGGUCAGCUCUGGCUCCCGGCUGAGGGAAGCUUUCACCCACUUGUCCUGACGUGAGCAAUUCUGCAGGCAGGGCUGGGGGCCAGGGAGCGGUGGGCCUUCCGGGCAGGCGCUCUUCUGGUGCCUCCUUCGUUGAUUAUGGGGCCUCAGCAGGAGGCCUGGGCUCCUCAGCACAAACCUAGUCCCUGGGGCUCCCGGAAGUCACCACAGCCAGCACUUCCUGAGUGUGGGAAACACUGCACUGUACCUGGCCUCUCCCCAGGAGCUCCCACGAGCGCCUCCACCUGGAAGGGAAUCUGGGCGGGCACACGGCGUGGGACCUCUGACACGCAGCUUGCUUCCCGCUAGCUCUGAUGCAGGAGGGUGCGGAACCCCACGGCCACCUUGUGUGCUGGAGACAGGGAGGGGAGUUUCCAGUCUCCUCCUAAAAGAUUACUUGGCUUCUUCCUUGCUGUUGCCUAAGAGUCUGGAUAGGACGCACCUCAAGGCAGAAUGCCUUCAGAAGUUGCAAAGAGUGGAAAUCCUAGCUCAAGCAGCUUUCAUAGAGGAGACUUAUGUGCUCAUGUAACUACUGGUUGAAGUCUAGGCUUAGCCAGCACCUCCAUGAUGUUUCCAUGGACUCAGCUUUCUCUGGUCUUUCAGUUUGUCCUUCUGUGGUGUCAGCUUCAGACAAAGCCUGAUCUGCCUCAUGGUGGCAAAAUGGCUGCGGUGGUUCCAGGCUUCACAUUUUCAUAGUCAAAAGGAUUUGUCUUGGGUCUUUUCCACACCCAUGCAGGAAUCUAAAGAAUCUGCGUUGUCAGGAAGGCUGAGUAUGGAGUGGCUGGCCACUGGGUAAAGAAUUAAGAUCUUUGAAUUACCUCCUGUUAGAGCAGUUGAAGUGUAGGGACUUCCUCCCCGAAGUGUGAAGGUGGAACGUGCCAGUUGGUGCUGUGGCCUCAAUGACUCGGGCUUUUCUGCUCUGUGGUGCCGUUUCCUUGGUGUCACCGAUGGCGGCAGGAGUGCCGGGUGCUACCUUCUCAGUGUGGUCUGAACAGCAGGGGCAGCAAGGCUGGGAGCAGAGGGGCCUCUUCACGCACCCUGCUCUGGUCAGGGCCGGAAGCAUCCCAUUGACGCCGCCCCUCUGCCUCCUCCCCCCUGGCCUGGCCUGGGCCCGGGCGGACUGUGGAAGUGAACACCGGAAGGUCACCCAGCAGUGCCCUGCUUUACACUGCAGAGUCGAAGGCCAGCCCUGAGGGUGUUGCCAGUGUCUCAGAAGCGUGAGGAGAGCAGACCGAGUCUCCCAGCAGCUGCCUUGGGCCACUCUGUCUGGGAACACAGAGCCGAGGGCGGCCAGGCUCCAGGGGCAGCCCCGCCUGCUCCAAGCAUCGGCACAGACUGAGAAGCCCGGGUCUGUCUUGGCCUCCUGACCCUGGGAAUGUGCUGCCGACUCUUCCUUAACUUGAAGCUCUCAUUCCGUGGCAAGACUGCUUCCCCACCAGCUAACUGCUGGUCCUCAGGGCUCUGCUCAGCUCAGAGGGCCUGAGAGUGGCUGUCACUCAAUAAACCGUGCUAUCGGCCAGACAGUUUUGGCUGAACUGAAGACGGAGCAAGGAGCGCAGUGCAAGGAGGCCAGUCCACACAGGCAGCUCUGGCGUGCUCGGUUUCCUGCUAGUCCAGCGCUGGGCUCUUUGCUGCCCUUCUGACUCCCUCUGAGAAAUGAUGGAAGCAAGUUUUUCACCGCAGUUGGAAGCAGGCUCUGUGGGAAGGAAGAGGUCUCUUGGAGAAGCGGUGACAGAUGAGUCUGCUCGGAGGAAGAAGAAGCUGAGGCACUUGGGAGCCAGGGCCAUGGGCUCCGCAGUCAGUGGGCAGGGCCAGGCUUGCAGGUCAGCGCUGGCUCGAGGCUCUCAGUCGCUGUGCUUUGUCGACACACGGUUUGCGUGCACAGCGAUGGCGUGGGCCACAGGUGUCCUUCUCGGCUGCCCAGCCCUGGGUCCCACCUGGCCCUCAGUGGAGGCCCCGCCCGGCAGGCACCACUCCCUGAGCCUCUGCAGGAGCGGCCAGCAGGUGGCGCAUCCGCAACUGGCAGACAGCUCCUGGGCCACAGCAGCUGCAGCCCGGCCUUGGCCGGGCGCCCUUUCCUGGCCGUGGGGAAGGGGAGGCUCCCGUGCGUCUGUCUGUCUGUCUCGGUUCAUCUUGUAUUUGCUUGGAUCGUGAGGCCCCGCUCGGUCCCCAGGAGUAGGGGUCUUGCUCGGUUUUUGUGUGGUUAUAGCUCAGCCUCAGGCUGCUCCCUGCUGGUGAGGGCCUGGGGUGAGGCCAAGCCCCGGCGAAUGCCCCCGCUCUCCUCUCUGAGCCUCCUGUCAGCGGCGGCCGGGAGGGUGCACGCCGGCCCCCGGGCUCCGCUGCCCGGACUUGUUCCCCUCAGCCCGGGAGCCCUCUGGACCCCAAGUCUCCUGCCCUGUGGCCCUCCCUUUGGUCGAAGCAUUUCCACGCGGUAGCCUCUCCUCCUUUCGGUGAAAAACACACGGAUUGAAAUUCAUCCUUCUCGCCUUCUUUGUGGCCCUGCCCACUCGCAUCAUUGUGCAGCCGACAGACAGCAGCGCCCACCCCUCCGCCACCGUCCGCAGUCUGCCAAAAGCUGCUGCUCCCCUCGGGCCCGGGUGGGACCUAGCUGUUGGGCACCGCCUGCUCUGGGCCCGCCGCCUUUCUUCAAAGCUCGAGAAGAAGGGGUGAGAGAGGCACCGGGGUCCCCCGCGCACAGGGGAUCUGUUCCCAGACCCACGGGCAGCGCAACCCUAAGCUGCACCCCUCAGAGCCAGGUUCCCCGAAUCCUGUGCUGGGUCCCCCUUGGCCCGCGACUCCUGUGCUUUUAAGUCAUAAAGGGCUCUGUGGACACAGCACAGCAACCGUGUGGCCUCAGCCUGAUCCUGCUCGGCAGCCGGCAUCCAAGGACGAAGGAUGGGCCCUGCCAGAAUGGGGAACGGCCGAGGCCUGGGUCCUCAUCGUGUGAGCGAGCCAGGAGAGGGCAGCAUGAGCUGCUAAUUUCUAGAAUUCUCCACUGACCACUUCAAACCCUGUUUGACCUAAGGUCACCAAAACCGUGGAAAUCAAAGCCACAGGCGCCAGAGCAAGCGUCGCCUCUGUGAUGGGCCCGUGAUGCACAUGUCACCACAGACCUCUUGUUCUCCGAGAGCUGACGCCCCCAGAGACCGAGCCCCAGCAUCCUCUGGGGCCCAGUGUGGGAGUUCCAGUUGAGAGAAAGGAGCCGACGCCUGGCUGCUGCGCUUCAGACCCCGCCUCUUCCGCCCUGACACUCGCGCGUCUGAGCAGCCGCAAUGAAACCGCAUUCUCUGCAAUUCCGGCCCCAGAGGGGGACUCGCAGCCCAGAAGGGAGCUUCAUCAGCGCCAAGCCAAGAGCCACGCCGGAAAUGGGGUCAGCAUUUCGGCCACACUAUAAAAGCUUAAAGGAGAAGGGACAUGAAAGGCUUCGUAAAAAGCCCCUUCCGAGAUGCACAAAUAAUGCUUUUCCCUCGUCCCUGCUCCAACACCGAGCUCCAGGUCCCCUGAGUCACCAUGAUGUAUUUUCUCCAACCACCAACCAGCAUCUGAAAUGAUUCCAAGAAUCAGGCCUGAUCCCCAGCCCCAAGAAGUGCCAGCUGUUUGCUUGCAGUUGUGUUUAAAAACUGUUCCUGCCUCUCCUGUACUCUGGAGUCUCCUUGGCUGGUAGUCAGUAAACAUGAACAGAAGAAUUCGCUUAGCACAGCUCAUGACAGCUAAAUCCUGGAAGCAGCCUAAGUGUUGGUCAACAGAUCAAUGGAUAAAGAAAGCAUGGUAUUUGCACACAAUGGAGUACUACUCUGCCCCGAAGAAGGAUAAACUUGAGUCAUUUGGAGGAAAGUGGAUGAAUCUGGAGGCCAUGAUAUUAAGGGAAAUAAAUCAGACAAGCUUGAAUAUCACAUGGUUUCUUUUAUGUGAGAAAGCCAAAGUAUAAAUAAUUAUAAAAAGAAAUAAAGAUAACACCGAACAGGAAGAUAGACCUUUUGCAAAUGAGGAGGAAUCAAGAGAUGAGGAGGGAAGGGAAGGGGGCUAAAAAGAAUGAGGAGGAGUUAGGUACAUAUGCCGGCUCCCCACGAGGAAAGCGACCAUUGCGGACCAGAAACAGCUAGGAAAAGAACGUAAAAAGCAGGGUCUGCAGCAGCCCGAGAAUCAGGCCCAGAGCACCCGGCCUCAGGCUGCUCUGUGGGGCUGGGGCUGUGGAGCGGAGGCGACUGUGCUUUCCCCGCCUGCCGCUGGCCUCAGUCCUGCUGACCCCUGAGCACCUCCCUGC